rnacentral:misc_RNA from 1 species
GGAAGUAAAAAUCGUAACAAGGUUUCCGUAGGUGAACCUGCGGAAGGAUCAUUAUUGUACAACCGAGGUGCGAGGGCUGUCGCUGACCCGAAAGGUCGUGCACGCCCGAGUGCCCUCACACACAUCCAUCUCACCCCUAUGUGCACCACCGCGUGGGUCCCCCUUUGGCUUGUUCGGAGGGGGGCUUACGUUUUCACACAAACUUUGUAUGCAGUGUAGAAUGUAUUUUUUGUUUUUGCGAUCACGCAAUCAAUACAACUUUCAACAACGGAUCUCUCGGCUCUC